UACGUAGGGUGCGAGCGUUAAUCGGAAUUACUGGGCGUAAAGCGUGCGCAGGCGGUUUUGUAAGCCAGGUGUGAAAUCCCCGGGCUCAACCUGGGAAUGGCAUUUGGGACUGCAAGGCUGGAGUGCGGCAGAGGAGACUGGAAUUCCUGGUGUAGCAGUGAAAUGCGUAGAUAUCAAGCGGAACACCAGUGGCGAAGGCGAGUCCCUGGACAACUCCUGACACUGAGGCACGAAAGCUAGGGGAGCAAACAGG
rnacentral:rRNA from 1 species